AUGCAUACCACCACUGCCGAGCUCCUGCUCAUAUGCGUCCUAGCUGCCGCCAGCUUGCUGGCCUUCGAUGCACGUCAGCUCGGGCCAGCCGGCGGUUCGGCAGGCGCAAGCUGCAUACCGCGGGAGAGGGAUGCCCUGCUGUCCUUCAAGCGCGGCAUCACCAGCGACCCCAUGGGUGUCCUUGACUCUUGGGACAAGGAAGACUGUUGUCAGUGGAGGGGCGUCAAGUGCAGCAACCGGACCGGCCAUGUCCUUAGGCUUCAUCUUCGUCGUCUGGAUGUGUACAAACUCGAGGGGUACUACCAAGACGUCACGGCUUUGGUUGGCCAAAUAAUGCACCUUGAUCUCACCAUGAAUGACCUCGAGGGCCCAAGUGGCCGCAUGCCGGAGUUCUUGGGCUCUUCGACGAGAUUGAGAUACCUCAACCUCUCCGGCUGUUCGCACACGAACACGUCACCGUGUACCUCCAACGCCGAGGGUGAUGCACCGCAGCUCAUGUCGAAGGAGACCCGUCCGGAAGCGCGGUACGCAAGCAAUCCGGCGGGUGCUUUUCAGGACCCGAAACCCCACGCGCCCGGGAGGGACCCCGUCUGGACUUGCGGCGGCUAUGGGCUGCCCUAG
rnacentral:rRNA from 1 species